rnacentral:piRNA from 1 species
UNGCAGUCAGGCCAGAAUCCUACAGCUUGGU